rnacentral:rRNA from 1 species
GCGACGAUCCGUAACUGGUCUGAGAGGAUGAUCAGUCACACUGGAACUGAGACACGGUCCAGACUCCUACGGGAGGCAGCAGUGGGGAAUAUUGGACAAUGGGCGAAAGCCUGAUCCAGCCAUGCCGCGUGUGUGAAGAAGGUUUCGGAUUGUAAAGCACUUUAAGUUGGGAGGAAGGGUUGUAGAUUAAUACUCUGCAAUUUUGACGUUACCGACAGAAUAAGCACCGGCUAACUCUGUGCCAGCAGCCGCGGUAAUACAGAGGGUGCAAGCGUUAAUCGGAAUUACUGGGCGUAAAGCGCGCGUAGGUGGUUUGUUAAGUUGGAUGUGAAAUCCCCGGGCUCAACCUGGGAACUGCAUUCAAAACUGACUGACUAGAGUAUGGUAGAGGGGUGGUGGAAUUUUCCUGUGUAUCGGUGAAAUGCUAGAUAUAGGAAGGAACACCAAUGGGCAAAGCGACCACCUUGGACUAAUACUGAACUCUGUAGGUGCGAA